rnacentral:rRNA from 1 species
CCUACGGGCGGCAGCAGUGGGGAAUAUUGCGCAAUGGGGGGAACCCUGACGCAGCGACGCCGCGUGAGCGAAGAAGGCCUUCGGGUCGUAAAGCUCUGUUGUAAGGGACGAAGGAAAUGACGGUACCUUACGAGGAAGCCCCGGCUAACUACGUGCCAGCAGCCGCGGUAAGACGUAGGGGGCGAGCGUUGUCCGGAAUUACUGGGCGUAAAGAGCACGUAGGCGGGUAUUUAAGUCAGGUGUGAAAGACCGCAGCCCAACUGCGGGGUUGCACAUGAAACUGGAUAUCUUGAGGGCAGGAGAGGUCAGUAGAAUUCCUGGUGUAGCGGUGAAAUGCGUAGAAAUCAGGAGGAAUACCAGUGGCGAAGGCGGCUGACUGGACUGACCCUGACGCUGAGGUGCGAAAGCGUGGGUAGCAAACAGGAUUAGAUACCCUGGUAGUC